ACGUCGUCGUUCCCACCUGG
rnacentral:miRNA from 1 species